GGGUGUUCCCACGAUCAGUUUGGGCUGGAGAAGUAAGAAUUCUAGAGGAUAAAAGCUUAUUGCCAAGCUGCAGUAACGCUCAACUUUCUUAGCGUCUUUGCCACUGGAGGUAUGCUUCAUUGCAGAGAGUUACCAAGUGGAAUAUUGAUUUUGUGGAGCACAGCAAGUAGGGAGACGGGUAUGCACAAAUUGAACUUGUUUGUUUGAUAAUUUGUAAUAUCUCGAUUGAUGGUAUACUGCAUUGUUUGGUUGGCAGGUACAAG
rnacentral:misc_RNA from 1 species